CCUACGGGAGGCUGCCGUGGGGAAUAUUGGACAAUGGGGGCAACCCUGAUCCAGCCAUGCCGCGUGUGUGAAGAAGGCCCUCGGGUUGUAAAGCACUUUCAGUGAGGAAGAACGCCUGGUGGUUAAUACCCAUCAGGAAAGACAUCACUCACAGAAGAAGCACCGGCUAACUCCGUGCCAGCAGCCGCGGUAAUACGGAGGGUGCGAGCGUUAAUCGGAAUUACUGGGCGUAAAGCGCGCGUAGGUGGCUUGAUAAGCCGGUUGUGAAAGCCCCGGGCUCAACCUGGGAACGGCAUCCGGAACUGUCAAGCUAGAGUGCAGGAGAGGAAGGUAGAAUUCCCGGUGUAGCGGUGAAAUGCGUAGAGAUCGGGAGGAAUACCAGUGGCGAAGGCGGCCUUCUGGACUGACACUGACACUGAGGUGCGAAAGCGUGGGUAGCAAACAGGAUUAGAUACCCGGGUAGUU
rnacentral:rRNA from 1 species